CCCUUCUAUCACAUAGCUUUUGGGAAUAUUGGGCUGUACUUUUUCCUUUUUUUAGCUCAUGCUUCUUUGCCAUGGCAUCUUUUCAUUUCCAUGCUCUUUUGACAUGAUUUAUUUUGGGCUCAUGCUUAUUUGGCAUGGCAUCUUUUCAUUUUCUCCAUGCUCUUUUGACAUGGUUUAUUUAUAUAUAGCCCAAUUCUCCUUCUUGCUGAGAUUUCUAGAAGAGAGGUUUAUAACAUAAUGGAAUUUUUAAUUAUGGAUGCAUAACCCUUUCGAGUCAGCAUUUUAUUUAGUGAGUGUACGUGAUCUUGAUCAUGAGUGUAUGCAGGAUAUCUCACAAGGUUCACAUGAAUUUGACAAAGCUCAAUGUAAGUACAAGCAGCAUAAGACUAAAGGUUGAAAUUGGGAUUUAUGUCAUAUGGCUGUGGUAGGAUUUUAUAAUCACUGAGGAACAUGUUUUUUUUUUGAAAAGAAAACUCUUGAUUUCAAGUUUCUCUUAGAACUAAUACAUAGCAUAAUCCAUUUAGCAUCUCAUAACUUGCAACAACUAAGAAAAUGAAUCAUCCUUUUGCAACCCACGAGUUUCUCAAGUCUUAGGUUAAGACGCGUUAGCCGUCAAAGUUAAACAUUGGGGAAUACUAAGUUACAAACUAGGAACAUGAUGAAUUAUAAACAGAGCAACUAUUCAUUAUUUCAACAUAGGGAGAACUUAAGCAUUCCUAGUCACAUAUGAGAGUGGAAUCAUAAUUAUUGUUACUUGGGUUGAAAACUUUAUUGGAAUGAGUAAUAAAGAAAGCGAUAGGAAAAGAUACUUACCUGAUUGGGGGUCAUCCCCCAAGCUUAUCUUUGGCUUAUUGCUCUAGGGGGAAGUAUCCCAUGUACCUCCAAUAAGCAGCUUGGGCGUCUUGUUGUGCCUUCAUGUGUUCAUUCAUUUCAGCCCAUUGUUGUUGUUGUUGUAGCUACUGCCACUGCAAUUCUUCUUGAUGCCACUGGCACUAGUACAGGGAAGGGCUUUAGCCCAGGGCUGUAAGCGCCUUUAGUCCCGGCUACGGAACCUGGGCUAAGGUUUCGAGACUAAAUGUCCCACCUUUAGUCCCGGUUCCAUGGACCGGGACUAAAGGUCCACCUUUAGUCCCGGUUGGUAACAGCAACCGGGACUAAAAGGUGCGCCUGGGUGUGCCACUUGGCCUCCACUUUUAGUCCCAGUUGUUGCUACCAACCGGGACUAAAGACUUUUUUCUUUUUUCUUUUUCUUUUCAUUUGGUUUUCUAUUUAGGGUUUACAAUUAUGUUAUUGUUAUUUUCGAAUGCGUAUUGUUUGCUAGUAGUUUAUGGAACGCGCACCUAUAAUUUAUAUAAUUUAAAGGAUUACAUAUAAAUAUAUUAUAAAAUACUAUAUAUAUAUAUAUAAUAUGUAUCUAUAGGUCCAUAAUAUAAUAUUUACACAUAUGCUUCACGGACAAAGUAUUUACAACACAAUUUAUCUCCGCCACUCAAGCAUCGUACAAAUGAUCAUCGUUAUUUGGUUUCAUGUAACACCCAAAAAUUUACAAAUUUUGAAAUAGGGGGAAAUAAUUUAAUUUUGUAUUUUUGUGUUCAUAAAAUAUAGAGAAAUAUUAUUUUUAAUUAAAUUAAAAUUCAUUAUAGGAUUUAGUAACAUGAAUGUGCAUUCAUGCUGGAGAAUUCAUUUUUUUUGUUUGCUGAGUAAUUUGAUCCCAAGAUUCAAAAUAAUUCAAACUGACUUUAAAAUUGUUUUCAAAUUGUUUGGAAAUAGGCUUUGAAAUAAAAAAAGGAAACCCCUCACCCCUCCCUGGAAUCAGGCCUAGAGGCCUGGCCUCCCUCUGCGCGGCCCAGCGCCCUCCCCUCCCCUCUCGGCCUCGGCCCAAGUCAGCAGAAGCCUAGCAGCGCAUUUCCCCCUCCCUUCCUCUCGCUGCCAAUCGGGCCCACACGUCAGCGACCCACCUUCCCUUCCUUCUUCUUCGUCACGUCGUCCUCGAGCCGGACUCCGGGAGGCGCCACCGAAUCCCGAUUGGCACGUGAUUUGCUGCCUCCAAACGCGCGUAAGCCACCCCUAUAAAGACCUAAACCUUCUCCGCGCUUCUCUUCCCCGUUUCCACGACCCUGAACGUACUCUAGCCGGGUUUUGGAUCUUGCCGAAAAGUAUAGGAAGCCGCCGCCGUGGAGCGCCCUAUUCGCGGUCGUGCCGUCGAAUUAGAGCUCUGGCCGAGUUUCCCGACUCUCCUACGAGGUUGCCAAGCUCUCUCUUUCUUUCUCUCGUGCUUUGGUUCACCCUAUAAUCUUCGCCAAACUUGCACGAAGGGUUCUGGCCGCCAUUCUCCGACGUCGACCGUGUGCACGUCCUUCUUACACUCGAGUUUGCCCUAGGUGAGCUCGCGGGGAGUUUCUCUUCGCUUCCAUGUCUUUAUUUUGUUGAACCGUGGCCUAAAUCGUCGAAACAACUAACGCCGGUGAGGUUUCUUAUGCCGGCCAUGGAGCCGCCGUGCUGGGAACACUGUUCCAGCCGGGGUAUCCUUCUUUACCCUCCCAGAUCUAAUCUGCGCCAUCCGUUUCGCGAUCAACGGCUGAGAUCUAAACAUACCCCUUUGGCCGACAGUUUUUUUAAGAGCCCCUGGCCUUUAUAGAUAUCGAACCCGCGGUCCUAAACGCCUUCCCGUAAUACGCUUUCUCCUUUUGAAAGCGCAAACAGUUCAGUUCAGGUUCGAAAUACGUUUUCUCUAUUUACAAAAUUGCCACUAAGUUUGUUUUACUUAUAAAAUAUUCAUUUUAACUCCGUUUUUGUCCAUUCAAAUUGCGUU
rnacentral:lncRNA from 1 species